rnacentral:misc_RNA from 2 species
AACGCACCUUGCGCCCUUUGGUAUUCCGAAGGGCAUGCCUGUUUGAGUGUCAUUAAAUUAUCAACCUUGCUCGCUUUUACCGGCUUGAGCUGAGGCUUGGACGUGGGGGUUUUUGCUGGCUUCCUUCAGUGGAUGGUCUGCUCCCCUUAAAUUCAUUAGCGGGAUCUCUUGUGGACCGUCACUUGGUGUGAUAAUUAUCUAUGCCGUUUGACCUUGAAGCAAAUUUAUGGGACCCUGCUUAUAACCGUCUCUUACCGGGACAAUUUAAUAACAUCUUGACCUCAAAUCAGGUAGGACUACCCGCUGAACUUAA